CGAGCCGGGUGAUCGCUCCGAGCAAUCGGGGAGGAAAGUCCGGGCUCCGCAGGGCAAGGUGGUUGCUAGCGGCAACCGUCCUGGCGAAAGUCAGGAUAGGGAAAGUGCCACAGAAAAGAAAACCCUUCGUUUCCACCGUUGGACCGAGACAUGGGUGUCCCGGCCCAGCGGUGGGAGCGGAGGAAAGCUGAAACGGUGGUGUAAGAGACCACCAGCUCCGUCGUGAGACGGAGGCUUGGCAAACCCCACCUGGAGCAAGGCCGAAUAGGGGAGGGUUGAAGCUGCCCGCCGACCUCCCGGGUGUCGCCGCAUGAGCCGCACGGCAACGUGCUGCCUAGAUAGAUGAUCACCCUCGACAGAACCCGGCUUACAGGCUCGCCCCGUUC
rnacentral:RNase_P_RNA from 1 species